CAUGCAAGUCGAACGGUAAGGCCCCUUCGGGGGUACACGAGUGGCGAACGGGUGAGUAACACGUGAGCAACCUGCCUCUGACUUUGGGAUAACAGUAGGAAACUGCUGCUAAUACCGGAUAUCACCUCCUUCUGCAUGGUGGGGGGUUGAAAGCUUUUGCGGUCAGGGAUGGGCUCGCGGCCUAUCAGCUUGUUGGUGAGGUAAUGGCUCACCAAGGCUUCGACGGGUAGCCGGCCUGAGAGGGCGACCGGCCACACUGGGACUGAGAUACGGCCCAGACUCCUACGGGAGGCAGCAGUGGGGAAUAUUGCACAAUGGGCGGAAGCCUGAUGCAGCAACGCCGCGUGCGGGAUGACGGCCUUCGGGUUGUAAACCGCUUUCACUCAUGACGAAGCGCAAGUGACGGUAGUGAGAGAAGAAGCACCGGCCAACUACGUGCCAGCAGCCGCGGUGAUACGUAGGGUGCGAGCGUUGUCCGGAAUUAUUGGGCGUAAAGAGCUCGUAGGCGGUCUGUCACGUCGGAAGUGAAAACUCAGGGCUUAACCCUGAGCCUGCUUCCGAUACGGGCAGACUUGAGGAAGGUAGGGGAGAACGGAAUUCCUGGUGGAGCGGUGGAAUGCUCAGAUAUCAGGAGGAACACCGGUGGCGAAGGCGGUUCUCUGGACCUUUCCUGACGCUGAGGAGCGAAAGCGUGGGGAGCAAACAGGCUUAGAUACCCUGGUAGUCCACGCCGUAAACGGUGGGCACUAGGUGUGGGGGACAUUCCAC
rnacentral:rRNA from 1 species